rnacentral:lncRNA from 1 species
CUUUAAUGAGUGUCUACAGCAUGUCCAGACCUUCUGGGAAGAAAUGCAAAACAAUUCAUGAUUAAUGUAAAUUUACAUUGUGAAAGUCUCUCUUUACUAAAGAAUUCUGGAAGAAAAGAAUAGUGAUGGGGAAGGAGAAAUAAAGGAAUUUGGGGUUUCUAACCCUGUCCCUAAUCCUCCAACCCUAACCUUAACUACUGCACCCGACUCUAACCCUCUAACAUAGCCAACUCUGCUUCAAAUCUAACUAUAAUGGGGCAGGUAGGUGGUGUAGGGGAUAGAGCACCGGCCCUGGAUUCUGAAGGACCUGAGCUCAAAUCCAGCCUCAGACACAUAACACUCACUAACUGUGUGACCCUGGGCAAGUCACCCAUUGCCUAACCAAAAAAAAAAAAUCUAUAACCCUAAAUUCAUGUCUCCAACUCUGACUCUAACCCUAAAUGCCUGACUCUAAGCCUAACCUUGAGUGCUUCUGGCUCUAAAACCCUAAAUGUGCAACUCUGACUCUCUUCAACUCCCAAUCUAUCCCUGACCGUACCCCUAACUCUGCCUUUAACUCUGACCCUAACCCUAACCCUUGAACUGUCACCCUAAUUUUGUGACUCAGACUCUUAACCCUAAUUUCAUACCCCCAACUCCAAUCCAAACACCAAAUUCACAUUACAUAAAAAUUGCUUUAUCUAGACUCUGCAGAAUGGUCCACUUAGUAAAGUUAAAUCUGUGUAUGUAGACCACUAUUAUAUAUAGAAUAUACAUAAAUAGAAUAAGUACAAAUAAAUGGGGAAAUAAAUUCAAAGGAAUGGCAGUGGGGAGACAAAUGGAGGAAAAACUUUGGGCAUUUACACUUUCUUCCCGUUCCCAUGAUCAGGGGCUGAGAAGACCACGUGAGGUAAGGGAAGAGCGGAGGGGGCGGGGCUCCAAGUCAGGAAGGGCAGGGAGGGCGGGGCAGGCAGGGAGGCCGGACCGCAUUCCAGGCCCAGAAGACACGGAAGACACCGAAGCCUCCAGACUACGAUUCCCAGAAGGCCUUGCUCUUCCCCCCCGGAAGCAUUUUCCAAAGCGAGGACGAAACUCCCCUCGGAUGUCAUUUUCACCCCGCCCUGUCUUCGCCUUUUCCUUACUUUGUGGUGGUAAUUUUCUUCCAUUCUGUCCUGAGCCGACCUGCGGCCGGCUCUCCCUUCUGUGGCCUCUGCUCUGCCCCAGGAGGACAGCCUGGAGGAAGAGGGAAUGGCUUCUGCCCUGACAGCCAGGCCCGGGAAGGAAACAGUCACAUCUCUUCUGGAGGGGGCACUGUCUUUAAGACAAUAUACUUCAGAGAUAAAACAGAUACUUUCUGGAGGUGGAGAGAAGAGGGAAUACUUUCUGGAAGGGGAGAGCACUGAUCAUCCCCAGCAUCAGAGAAGGUUUCCUGAGGAAACGGUACCAAGGAUGCUGGGAAGGGAUGAUGCCACAGGGAAAUCUGCACCAAGGACCAGACAGACAUCAGUUCAAGAUUCUCGCCAAAGGAAAGCCUGAGGUCCGGAAGGUCAGGACAUUCGCAGGGGUUCACGCGGUGAGGGCGUGUCUGGGGAGGGGCUUGCAUCCGACUCCACACCCACGUGACCCUCCCAGUCCCCGCCUACAUCUCUCCCCAGGCUCCACCCCCGCAGCGCUGUAAGCCCGGGGAUGGCUUCCUUCGCCUCUAGCGGAAGCUCCAAUCUUGUGUGCUCCCCAGCCAGCCCCUGCUACUGCCAUCGGGUUUCUGGCCAGGCCUGGCUCCGCUUUCGGCUGCCGCUCGCCCCGUCCCAGGUCGCCUUAGGACGAAGGAUGGGAAGCGAGCAGGAGGAAGAAAGGAAGAGCAGAGAGCGCCACAGGGUAGUGACAUUGGAGGAAGUUCACACCCUCCAGCCAGGGGGUCGGAAAAAUGCCCCUGGGAUGAGCAAGGUCUUCUGGGAAUUGUAGUUUGGAGAAGGCGUGUCUUCUGCGCAUGCCUGGAGUUCGGCCCUCUCCCAGGUGGGGAAUGCGGUCCUGAAUCUCCCUGACUGUAGGUGCUCAGGGCACUGCUGGAGUGGGAGCCCCGCCCCCUCAUCUCCCCUGACCCUGCUUAGCUUCUGAGGACUGGGAAUGUAAAAGAAAACACGAAAUAAGCGUUAAAAAUAAAGUUAAA